rnacentral:tRNA from 2 species
GGAGGUAUACCCAAGUCUGGCUGAAGGGAUUAGUCUUGAAAACUAACAGGCGGGUUAAACCGCGCGGGGGUUCGAAUCCCUCUACCUCCUCCA